CCUACGGGAGGCUGCAGUGAGGAAUAUUGGUCAAUGGGCUUACGCCUGAACCAGCCAAGUCGCGUGAGGGAAGACUGCCCUAUGGGUUGUAAACCUCUUUUGUCAGGGAGCAACGCCGGCUACGUGUAGCCGGACUGAGAGUACCUGAAGAAAAAGCAUCGGCUAACUCCGUGCCAGCAGCCGCGGUAAUACGGAGGAUGCGAGCGUUAUCCGGAUUUAUUGGGUUUAAAGGGUGCGUAGGCGGAAUGCCAAGUCAGCGGUAAAAUCGCGGGGCUCAACCUCGCUCCGCCGUUGAAACUGGCGUUCUUGAGUGGGCGAGAAGUAUGCGGAAUGCGUGGUGUAGCGGUGAAAUGCAUAGAUAUCACGCAGAACUCCGAUUGCGAAGGCAGCAUACCAAGCUACUUCUGACGUUGAGGCACGAAAGCGUGGGGAGCAAACAGGAUUAGAUACCCUUGUAGUC
rnacentral:rRNA from 1 species